UCCAUAGGUUAAUGAGGCGAACCGGGGGAACUGAAACAUCUAAGUACCCCGAGGAAAAGAAAUCAACCGAGAUUCCCCCAGUAGCGGCGAGCGAACGGGGAGCAGCCCAGAGCCUGAAUCAGUGUGUGUGUUAGUGGAAGCGUCUGGAAAGGCGUGCGAUACAGGGUGACAGCCCCGUACACAAAAAUGCACAUGCUGUGAGCUCGAUGAGUAGGGCGGGACACGUGGUAUCCUGUCUGAAUAUGGGGGGACCAUCCUCCAAGGCUAAAUACUCCUGACUGACCGAUAGUGAACCAGUACCGUGAGGGAAAGGCGAAAAGAACCCCGGCGAGGGGAGUGAAAAAGAACCUGAAACCGUGUACGUACAAGCAGUGGGAGCACGCUUAGGCGUGUGACUGCGUACCUUUUGUAUAAUGGGUCAGCGACUUAUAUUCUGUAGCAAGGUUAACCGAAUAGGGGAGCCGAAGGGAAACCGAGUCUUAACUGGGCGUUAAGUUGCAGGGUAUAGACCCGAAACCCGGUGAUCUAGCCAUGGGCAGGUUGAAGGUUGGGUAACACUAACUGGAGGACCGAACCGACUAAUGUUGAAAAAUUAGCGGAUGACUUGUGGCUGGGGGUGAAAGGCCAAUCAAACCGGGAGAUAGCUGGUUCUCCCCGAAAGCUAUUUAGGUAGCGCCUCGUGAAUUCAUCUCCGGGGGUAGAGCACUGUUUCGGCAAGGGGGUCAUCCCGACUUACCAACCCGAUGCAAACUGCGAAUACCGGAGAAUGUUAUCACGGGAGACACACGGCGGGUGCUAACGUCCGUCGUGAAGAGGGAAACAACCCAGACCGCCAGCUAAGGUCCCAAAGUCAUGGUUAAGUGGGAAACGAUGUGGGAAGGCCCAGACAGCCAGGAUGUUGGCUUAGAAGCAGCCAUCAUUUAAAGAAAGCGUAAUAGCUCACUGGUCGAGUCGGCCUGCGCGGAAGAUGUAACGGGGCUAAACCAUGCACCGAAGCUGCGGCAGCGACGCUGAUGCGUUGUUGGGUAGGGGAGCGUUCUGUAAGCCUGCGAAGGUGUGCUGUGAGGCAUGCUGGAGGUAUCAGAAGUGCGAAUGCUGACAUAAGUAACGAUAAAGCGGGUGAAAAGCCCGCUCGCCGGAAGACCAAGGGUUCCUGUCCAACGUUAAUCGGGGCAGGGUGAGUCGACCCCUAAGGCGAGGCCGAAAGGCGUAGUCGAUGGGAAACAGGUUAAUAUUCCUGUACUUGGUGUUACUGCGAAGGGGGGACGGAGAAGGCUAUGUUGGCCGGGCGACGGUUGUCCCGGUUUAAGCGUGUAGGCUGGUUUUCCAGGCAAAUCCGGAAAAUCAAGGCUGAGGCGUGAUGACGAGGCACUACGGUGCUGAAGCAACAAAUGCCCUGCUUCCAGGAAAAGCCUCUAAGCAUCAGGUAACAUCAAAUCGUACCCCAAACCGACACAGGUGGUCAGGUAGAGAAUACCAAGGCGCUUGAGAGAACUCGGGUGAAGGAACUAGGCAAAAUGGUGCCGUAACUUCGGGAGAAGGCACGCUGAUAUGUAGGUGAAGCGACUUGCUCGUGGAGCUGAAAUCAGUCGAAGAUACCAGCUGGCUGCAACUGUUUAUUAAAAACACAGCACUGUGCAAACACGAAAGUGGACGUAUACGGUGUGACGCCUGCCCGGUGCCGGAAGGUUAAUUGAUGGGGUCAGCGCAAGCGAAGCUCUUGAUCGAAGCCCCGGUAAACGGCGGCCGUAACUAUAACGGUCCUAAGGUAGCGAAAUUCCUUGUCGGGUAAGUUCCGACCUGCACGAAUGGCGUAAUGAUGGCCAGGCUGUCUCCACCCGAGACUCAGUGAAAUUGAACUCGCUGUGAAGAUGCAGUGUACCCGCGGCAAGACGGAAAGACCCCGUGAACCUUUACUAUAGCUUGACACUGAACAUUGAGCCUUGAUGUGUAGGAUAGGUGGGAGGCUUUGAAGUGUGGACGCCAGUCUGCAUGGAGCCGACCUUGAAAUACCACCCUUUAAUGUUUGAUGUUCUAACGUGGACCCGUGAUCCGGGUUGCGGACAGUGUCUGGUGGGUAGUUUGACUGGGGCGGUCUCCUCCUAAAGAGUAACGGAGGAGCACGAAGGUUGGCUAAUCCUGGUCGGACAUCAGGAGGUUAGUGCAAUGGCAUAAGCCAGCUUGACUGCGAGCGUGACGGCGCGAGCAGGUGCGAAAGCAGGUCAUAGUGAUCCGGUGGUUCUGAAUGGAAGGGCCAUCGCUCAACGGAUAAAAGGUACUCCGGGGAUAACAGGCUGAUACCGCCCAAGAGUUCAUAUCGACGGCGGUGUUUGGCACCUCGAUGUCGGCUCAUCACAUCCUGGGGCUGAAGUAGGUCCCAAGGGUAUGGCUGUUCGCCAUUUAAAGUGGUACGCGAGCUGGGUUUAGAACGUCGUGAGACAGUUCGGUCCCUAUCUGCCGUGGGCGCUGGAGAACUGAGGGGGGCUGCUCCUAGUACGAGAGGACCGGAGUGGACGCAUCACUGGUGUUCGGGUUGUCAUGCCAAUGGCACUGCCCGGUAGCUAAAUGCGGAAGAGAUAAGUGCUGAAAGCAUCUAAGCACGAAACUUGCCCCGAGAUGAGUUCUCCCUGACUCCUUGAGAGUCCUGAAGGAACGUUGAAGACGACGACGUUGAUAGGCCGGGUGUGUAAGCGCAGCGAUGCGUUGAGCUAACCGGUACUAAUGAACCGUGAGGCUUAACCUUACAACGCCGAAGGUGUUU
rnacentral:rRNA from 1 species